rnacentral:rRNA from 1 species
GAUGAACGCUGGCGGCGUGCCUAAUACAUGCAAGUCGAGCGAAUGGAUUAAGAGCUUGCUCUUAUGAAGUUAGCGGCGGACGGGUGAGUAACACGUGGGUAACCUGCCCAUAAGACUGGGAUAACUCCGGGAAACCGGGGCUAAUACCGGAUAACAUUUUGAACCGCAUGGUUCGAAAUUGAAAGGCGGCUUCGGCUGUCACUUAUGGAUGGACCCGCGUCGCAUUAGCUAGUUGGUGAGGUAACGGCCAACCAAGGCAACGAUGCGUAGCCGACCUGAGAGGGUGAUCGGCAACACUGGGAAUGAGACACGGCCCAGACUCCUACGGGAGGCAGCAGUAGGGAAUCUGCCGCAAUGGACGAAAGUCUGACGGAGCAACGCCGCGUGAGUGAUGAAGGCUUUCGGGUCGUAAAACUCUGUUGUUAGGGAAGAACAAGUGCUAGUUGAAUAAGCUGGCACCUUGACGGUACCUAACCAGAAAGCCACGGCUAACUACGUGCCAGCCGCCGCAGUAA